GUCGCGGUGGCACAACCUGGUACUGCGCAGGAUUGCUAAUUCUGUUUCCUUCGGGAUAUCUGGGUUCAAAUCCCAGCCGCGACG
rnacentral:tRNA from 1 species